rnacentral:lncRNA from 1 species
CGCACAAGUUGUUACAGGUCUGCAAACAAGUUGUUACAAAUCUGUUCAGAAGCUGUCGACAAGUUGUGUUCGCGCUGCUUGUUCCCAGUUGUUGUAACAAGUUUGGAACAAGCUGUUAACAACUUGUAACAAGCUUGAUGACAUUAUCAGACUUGUUACAAGGUUGUUCUAACAAGUCUGAUACAGUCAUGAUAUAACAAGAAUGUUACAAGGUUGACGAC